rnacentral:rRNA from 1 species
AUGGCUCAGGACGAACGCUGGCGGCGUGCCUAAUACAUGCAAGUCGAACGGUCUUUCUAUGGAAGCUUGCUUCCACUGGGAAGAUAGUGGCGGACGGGUGAGUAACACGUGGGUAACCUGCCCAUAAGAGGGGGAUAACAUCCGGAAACGGGUGCUAAUACCGCAUAGUUUUCUUGAUCGCAUGAUUGAGAAAGGAAAGACGGCCUUUGUGCUGUCGCUUAUGGAUGGACCCGCGGCGUAUUAGUUAGUUGGUGAGGUAACGGCUCACCAAGACGAUGAUACGUAGCCGACCUGAGAGGGUGAUCGGCCACAUUGGGACUGAGACACGGCCCAAACUCCUACGGGAGGCAGCAGUAGGGAAUCUUCCGCAAUGGACGAAAGUCUGACGGAGCAACGCCGCGUGAGUGAAGAAAGGUUUUCGGAUCGUAAAACUCUGUUGUCAGAGAAGAACAAGUCGGAGAGUAACUGCUCCGGCCUUGACGGUAUCUGACCAGAAAGCCACGGCUAACUACGUGCCAGCAGCCGC